rfam:Gossypium hirsutum cultivar TM-1 chromosome 15, whole genome shotgun sequence
AAAUCACGGUGUGGGCAUUUUUGGAUUAACAUCUUGAAACGCUUCCAAGCUUCAUGAAAACUCUCUCAUUCUAGUUGCUUAAAUGUAGCAAUUUCUCUUUUUAGUUG